AGAGUUUGAUCAUGGCUCAGAUUGAACGCUGGCGGCAGGCCUAACACAUGCAAGUCGAGCGGUAGCACAGAGAGCUUGCUCUCGGGUGACGAGCGGCGGACGGGUGAGUAAUGUCUGGGAAACUGCCUGAUGGAGGGGGAUAACUACUGGAAACGGUAGCUAAUACCGCAUAACGUCGCAAGACCAAAGUGGGGGACCUUCGGGCCUCAUGCCAUCAGAUGUGCCCAGAUGGGAUUAGCUAGUAGGUGGGGUAACGGCUCACCUAGGCGACGAUCCCUAGCUGGUCUGAGAGGAUGACCAGCCACACUGGAACUGAGACACGGUCCAGACUCCUACGGGAGGCAGCAGUGGGGAAUAUUGCACAAUGGGCGCAAGCCUGAUGCAGCCAUGCCGCGUGUGUGAAGAAGGCCUUCGGGUUGUAAAGCACUUUCAGCGGGGAGGAAGGCGUUAAGGUUAAUAACCUCAUCGAUUGACGUUACCCGCAGAAGAAGCACCGGCUAACUCCGUGCCAGCAGCCGCGGUAAUACGGAGGGUGCAAGCGUUAAUCGGAAUUACUGGGCGUAAAGCGCACGCAGGCGGGCUGUCAAGUCGGAUGUGAAAUCCCCGGGCUCAACCUGGGAACUGCAUUCGAAACUGGCAGGCUAGAGUCUUGUAGAGGGGGGUAGAAUUCCAGGUGUAGCGGUGAAAUGCGUAGAGAUCUGGAGGAAUACCGGUGGCGAAGGCGGCCCCCUGGACAAAGACUGACGCUCAGGUGCGAAAGCGUGGGGAGCAAACAGGAUUAGAUACCCUGGUAGUCCACGCCGUAAACGAUGUCGAUUUGGAGGUUGUGCCCUUGAGGCGUGGCUUCCGGAGCUAACGCGUUAAAUCGACCGCCUGGGGAGUACGGCCGCAAGGUUAAAACUCAAAUGAAUUGACGGGGGCCCGCACAAGCGGUGGAGCAUGUGGUUUAAUUCGAUGCAACGCGAAGAACCUUACCUGGUCUUGACAUCCACAGAACUUAGCAGAGAUGCUUUGGUGCCUUCGGGAACUGUGAGACAGGUGCUGCAUGGCUGUCGUCAGCUCGUGUUGUGAAAUGUUGGGUUAAGUCCCGCAACGAGCGCAACCCUUAUCCUUUGUUGCCAGCGGUCCGGCCGGGAACUCAAAGGAGACUGCCAGUGAUAAACUGGAGGAAGGUGGGGAUGACGUCAAGUCAUCAUGGCCCUUACGACCAGGGCUACACACGUGCUACAAUGGCAUAUACAAAGAGAAGCGACCUCGCGAGAGCAAGCGGACCUCAUAAAGUAUGUCGUAGUCCGGAUUGGAGUCUGCAACUCGACUCCAUGAAGUCGGAAUCGCUAGUAAUCGUAGAUCAGAAUGCUACGGUGAAUACGUUCCCGGGCCUUGUACACACCGCCCGUCACACCAUGGGAGUGGGUUGCAAAAGAAGUAGGUAGCUUAACCUUCGGGAGGGCGCUUACCACUUUGUGAUUCAUGACUGGGGUGAAGUCGUAACAAGGUAACCGUAGGGGAACCUGCGGUUGGAUCACCU
rnacentral:rRNA from 1 species